rnacentral:lncRNA from 1 species
UAGCCACCCAGUUCAUCAAGAUGCACAAGUACAAAAUCAAAAUAAUCUCCUUCAAGCCCAACAGGUUAGCAACUGCUGCUGGUUACCAUACUUUACUAGACCAUUACUGGCGCGCAUUGCCGCGCCCAUCUAUUUUUGCGAUAGAAUGAUAAGAAUUCCAUAACUACAAGGACAAACAUAGAAAUUAUCAUACAUGCUAAAUAAAUGCAUAUGUUGUUGGUAAUUGAUAAAGGGAGAACGUUACAUUUGAGAGAAGAUACAUGAUAAAAAUAGAGGCCUUAUAAUCAUCAUCGUGUGAAUGUGAGCAGAUAAAAGCUAGAGCUAUAUACCACAGACUCAGUGUUUUUUUAGAAUAUAUCUACUCAUAUAUGGUUCAAUUUAUAUACAAAUGCACUAAGAGAAAGUUCUGAUCACAAUGUAACCUACAGCUAGACUGCAUAUGAAUCAUUUUGACUUGGUAUGUACACAUGUUCCCAGUAACGGACUGCACCUCUCGGUUCAUCUUUUCCUUUUCACAAAUAGUGAAUGUAACUUCGCAGGGAAUAACAAAAGCUCUAUGCUGCAGAGCCUGCAAACAUGAAUAAUUCAAAAGAUGAAUUACUUAUCGAAAUAAUCCAAAGCGAUUGAACUAUGGAUCAACAUCUGAACAGAAUCAGAUUGUUUGAUGUAUGUAGUAGACAAAGACGACCAUUGUGUGUCCUACAUCGCACAGACCCCCAAUAUGUUUAACCUGGAGGAUCAGUGAUUGAGUCUGUAUAAUCAGCAACCUACAACAAGACAUGGACAAACUGAAAAGGAUAAUGUAUGCGAUAAACAAUAGAAAAUUGGCCAAACCAUAGAGGGGCAACAAACCUCACUAACAGUAUAUACUUCGUUGAGAGAAGAUACAAGCCAAGCAAAGUUGUGUACUCCUCACAAGCAUAACCGUCCCUGAAAAUAACACGAAACAGCAUGCAUCAAUACUCCAAUGACAUACAUCACACAAAACAGACCAAAUUUCCGGGAAUAUGAAAAUGUGUAGCUUGCAGGUUCACAGUCACAGCAAGUAGGAAAUGAUGAUCCGUAUAUCAGCAAAAAUACAGAUGAUAAGCAAACCAGCAUCAGCUCUGUUUAUCAGUCAAACAAGCCUGACUCUUACCUAUAUAUCAAGCAAUCGCAGGGUUGGGGGAAGCCCAUAUUCUCUCCAUGGUGGUGGGCAGAAUUGUGCGGCAGCUGACUUGGAUGGUGCACAUCGCCCUGGCGAGGAAGAGCAGGUCUGCCACAAGAGUAACAUCGGUAAUGUUGUUUACGCUGGCACACUGUCUUCGCCGCUACCGGUGGACAUAUCUUCAAAGGUUGAUGGGUAGAUAGGCAGGGGGAGGGGAUGGGAGAGGUUGGGAGGGAUGCGCACACCCGUAUCAUUGGAAGCCAAUUAGAUGCAAACAUAUAUCAAGAGAUGGCGGGAGGUGCGCAUUAGCUGCCAUGAAUGGGUACCGAGAACUGAUGCUUCAGUUUCCACGCCGGCGCAUAUCGAAAUAAAUUUCUACUCAACAGCGGUAUUUGAUGCUUUCCAUCACUCCUUGCUGCAUCAACUGCACUUUACCCGCAUGAUUAGGCAGUUUCUCAUCGCCUCGCCUCGCCUCGCCUCGCUGAGCGCAUCACCCGACCGGCCCCACUUCGCCCGCGUUUGCUGGAUCGAACCAUUACCUCUGUUCUCUGUCUCAAAUCAGUUCGUUGACCUUCCUCUGCAAUAAUAGGCCGACCGAUCCAGCUCUAUCUCGCUGGGAGGUCGCUCGAUGUUUUGGUCAGCGGCACCAAUGGUGGGAGUGCCAUAGUCUUGGCAUGAGAGGUCGGACAUGAAGGAGGUCCUUGUGUCGUCGGAGCCCAGCGCCGUCGCCACGGGAGUAGUGCAUCGUCCCAUCGUCCGCCGCCACGCUAGGGUUGGGACCUUGCGAACAGAACGAGGGUUGCGUGGACCGUGGAGAGUCCAGCUUUUUGGAUGCAUGUACAAAGACAGCUCAGGCCCAUUAGGCCCAAUUUAACAGCGGACGCCCAAAAUUGUCGCCAGAGCAGCGGCCGUCACGAUAGCGCUCGUUCGUAGCGAGCGAACCGAGUGUAAGUGGUGUUCACCCUUAAUCGGACGACUAAAAACGCUUAAAAGUGCUGAUCGGACGGCUAGAAAUGCUAAUAGCCUGAGAGAGGAGGAAAGAUGCUCAGUUAUAACGUAUCUAAAUGUUGUGUAUACAUUGCUUACCUUCUUUUUCUACCAUUUCUGUACACUACUGUCAUAAUUUUUCCUUCCUCAGAAGGAUUAGUUGUUUAUCCUACUAUAUUUAAAAAGCAUGUACCCACAAUUGUCCAAAGUUGAUGGAUUCAACCAACUAACACCACAACAUUUAUAGUAUUACAACGGCAUUCUAAAACGCCUCUGGAAGACGUAAAAAUGCCUCCGAUUGUUUUGUGUGGCAUUUCUAUAAAAUGCUAGAGAAGCUCAUGAAGGGGAAAGCCAACUGAGACGUUUUCCAGUAACGCCUUGAAAGAUGUGGCAUUCAGCGGCAUUUUACAGACGCCACAAACGAGGUUUCGGGGCAAUUUCCUAAAGCGCUCUAAACUUCUCGAUCAAAAUCGAAAAACAGAACUAACAAACACCAUGGGGUCUUCUUCUCUUUGUCUCUUUUUAUCUUUUCUGUCCCAAAUGGCUAUCUAUCUUUCUUUCCAGGCUGAGAAUUUAAAUUAAAUCUGACUAGACAAGCCCAUUAGCGAGGGAAAUGGCAUCAGUACUUGUCAUUUCUGAAACACUGCUUAUGUUUGCACCCUUUUAACUACCUCCAACACUUUCUCGCCAAGCAGUAUGGGACUAAAACAACCUCGCGCGAGAAAAAAAAACUGUAUAAAUAGAGAGGCAUGCAUGAUUCGAACGCUGCAUCGGCUGGAAAACAUUGUGGCGCACUUACCACCAGACCAAGAAAGGUAAUGUUAUUGGCAAGAAAUCCAUAUGCCCUUUUUACUGAUACAUAAACGGGCAUGUCCCCUCCAUUGACAGCGUUUCUUACAAAUGCCUCAAAAUCUCUUUCUAUUUGAGGCUUCCAGAAAACGCCUCCACAGCUGUGUUUUGUGGUGAUUUGCAUAAAAUGCCCUGACAGCUUCAUCCAGUCCGAAGUGUUUUCCAGAAAUGCCUUAAGCUAGAGAUGAUUUGGGGCGAACCUGAUAGAACACCUUCUUAGAUGCUAUUCUGAAGUGUUUAUAAAAACGCCCUGAACAGAACGUUUUGUGUUAUUAACGUGUUGUAGUGUAAACAAGCUCUUUGGCUAAGCUGCCCACAAGUAAAUUCACUUGAUGAGAAUGGAUAUUGGUUUCUGGCUGGUCAUCGCGACAGCUGUGUAAUCUUGCUGAUACUUCUAUUUUUAGAGGCACUUACAAAUUAUAAUUAGUGCAAGUAUCUUUGAGAUUUGGGUAUUCUUCUAAUUGUUCAGUCAUAUAAAGAAAAAUUCUGCUAACUCUUGCAACUUGGAACCAACUCCUAGAACUCAUGUAUGGCCAUUCACUGUGAUUGGCUACCCAUUGAACUGGGAGUGGUUCUAGAAUUCAGUCUCUACAUUCGCCCACUGAACCAGCUGGUUUUGUGACACCCGGCUGGUUUUGAAUGGUCACUAAUCACAGUGAUGGGAACUAUUUUGCUUCUGCUACAUUUGUUUGUUUGAUUAGCCACUGUUUGAAGCAUUUUUUUAGUCAAAUGGUUGCUAUUCUUUUUAUUGUGAUCCAAUGGGGAGGAUCCCAUGGACAAUAUAUUAAGAGAGAGCCCACCCGGGUGAGAUACCACAAAUUCGCUCCUGAUGGGAUUCGAACCUUGGUCAGCCAGGAUGCGCCGCUGCGACCUAGCGAGUUCUAUGCUAUUCUUUUUAUCAUCUAUGCACACACUUGAAACUAUUACUGUUUUCGGAAAUGUCUUCUCUGUGAAACCAUAACAUCAUUUUCUCAUGCUGCCCCUAACAUUAACACACAGUUAAUAUGUUUAAUUGGCAGCUCCAGAGGCAGUACACUCCUCAAAUGACUAUCCAUAACCAGAAUCUGACAGCACAGCAGCAGCACCAGCUGCUGCAGCAACAACAGUGGAUGAGGCGGAACCAAAUGAUGCCCCCCCGCGGCGCUCUUACGAUGUCGGACAAAACCCAGGCCCUGGUAAACGUGAAGCUCGAGAACACCAUGGAUUCACAAAUUGAUAGCCCGUACGGAUCUCUCACCAGACAACAACAACAUAUGCAGUAGCUGAGGCACCAGCAGCUACUGCAGCAGCAGCAACAGAAGCAGCUCCAGCAACAGCAGGUAUUGC